rnacentral:rRNA from 1 species
UGGGGAAUAUUGGACAAUGGGCGAAAGCCUGAUCCAGCAAUACCACGUGAGUGAUGAAGGCCUUCGGGUUGUAAAACUCUUUUAGUAGGGAAGAUAAUGACGGUACCUACAGAAAAAGCACCGGCUAACUUCGUGCCAGCAGCCGCGGUAAUACGAAGGGUGCUAGCGUUGUUCGGAAUCAUUGGGCGUAAAGCGUGCGUAGGCGGCUUGGUAAGUUGGCUGUGAAAGCCCAGGGCUUAACCUUGGAAUUGCAGUCAAAACUGCCUUGCUAGAGUAUGGCCGGGGAUAGUGGAAUUCCUAGUGUAGGGGUGAAAUCCGUAGAUAUUAGGAGGAACACCGGUGGCGAAAGCGACUAUCUAGACCAUUACUGACGCUGAGGCACGAAAGCGUGGGGAGCAAACAGG